GUCCGAUUCCUAUGACUCAGCUCUCAGACCAGUGGACCGCACUCGCCCCUCCCGGCCCUCUUUGUCUUCCUCGCCUGUCUUGCCCCUUGAAUUGAGAGGGCUAUAAAGGAUCCCUGCGUGAUUUUUUUUUAAAGAAAAGUUUCGGCAUUGUAGCAUCUAUUUUGUUUGCUCUAAUUUUCGUGAGCACUCAAGUCAUACAACUAAUAUUUGCUCAGGGUAUGGUAAUUGGGAGUUUUAUGGAGUACACAGCCUCCCCCUUAACAAUUAAGUCAAAUUCAACUUCUGCUAUUGAGCGACAAUGAGGGUGUUAAUUUCCUUUUUCUUGUUUUCACCAAUUAAAAGUGGUUGCUAAUGAGAGCCAAGGAUUUCAGGGGAUCACAUUUCUUUAUCUCUACUAUCUGAAGAUUGAAACAAGCGCGAACUCGGUUUUGAGGGGAAGGUUUCGGCAAUGCAUGUGGACGAUUCAGGUAGAGAGGUGUGGGUUUCAAAAUGGCACCUGAGUCGCCGGAUGGCAUGGAGGAUGAAAGGAAGCUCCUGGGUUCCAAGAGAGAAGCAUAAUCUUAGCCUUGCUGCACUUCUGAACUCCUCGUGGUCUUAUUCUGCAAAGUAUUCCCAAGUGGCCCGCUAUGUACCAGACAAGGUGAUUACAGGCCAAGUUGCUUCCUUUCCUUGUGGACUCCUAUAGUCUCUUUGACUGAGGUAAAUUUAAUAAAACAAAAUACACCCGUU